UACGGGGGGAGCAAGCGUUGUUCGGAUUUACUGGGCGUAAAGGGCGCGUAGGCGGCGUGACAAGUCACUUGUGAAAUCUCCGGGCUUAACUCGGAACGGUCAAGUGAUACUGUCGUGCUAGAGUGCGGAAGGGGCAACUGGAAUUCUUGGUGUAGCGGUGAAAUGCGUAGAUAUCAAGAGGAACACCUGCGGCGAAGGCGGGUUGCUGGGCCGACACUGACGCUGAGGCGCGAAAGCCAGGGGAGCGAACGGG
rnacentral:rRNA from 1 species